rnacentral:rRNA from 1 species
ACUUUAAGUAUCCUAAAGGGUUGUUCGAGACUAGAACGUUGAUAGGCAGGGUGUGUAAGCGUUGUGAGGCGUUGAGCUAACCUGUACUAAUUGCCCGUGAGGCUUAACCAUACAACACCCAAGGGGUUUUGUA